GAGAGCAGAGAGAGAGUGACAUUUGGAGCACGGAUGCACAAUGUGAGAAGAAAACAGAGAAAAGAAAGUGAAAUCCCUAAUCCCAAUUUUUCGCCUCCGCCGAUUCUGCUUGCAGGAAGAUAUGAAGCUGAGUUACUUGGCUCAGGAACUGAUUUCAACUGAUCGCUUAGUUCCUCAAUCUUGCACCAAGAAAUGUUAUUUGGAAAAUUGAAAGCUCAAGGGUUGAAAGUUAUCUUUAUUGAGGAUUUCUGGCUAUAGAUUGAAUUCCUCAAGUUGGUCAGCUCUGGUGAUUAUAAUGCUGCUUUAAGGGUUGCUUGCACUCAUUUGGGUCCUUUAGCUUCUAGUGAUCCUGCUUUAUUGAAGCCGUUGAAGGAAACUCUUUUGGCUUUACUACGACCUAAUGAAGACGCUCUUGGAAAUGCAUUACCUCUACAAGCUCCAGCUGCUUCUCUCCAGUUCCACCUUUUUGGCCCACAUGUCUCCAUCUCUGACAACACUGGCUCUGCCUCAAACAUUUGGCAGCAAAUGCUCAUAAAUCAUACAAGGAAGGAGUGACUGUCUCGUUCAAAUACGUCCUUGAAGUCCUCUUCAUUAAUUGUUAGUAUACUAUACCAUUUUACUAUAGUUAUUAAGCUUUAAUCCAUUUUCGUUGUUUUAUAAAUUAAUAUGAUAUUAAAUUUAUGCACACAUUGAGUGAACCUUAGUUUCCCGUUUGAGAUUCAAUACAAAUGAUUAACUUUAUUUAUACUUGUGUGAUAUGUACAAGUUAAGUCUCAUCUUAAAUUAUAUAGAAUUUUGGUUUAUUGCAUUUCAUUUUGUUCUCCGAGUGCAUAUUUGAGAGUGUUGUGAUUUGAUGUCAUCACUUUCAUUUCAUGUACUUGGAGACCAAUGCGAAAUGUUGGCGAACAAAAGUUAUGAAGAACAGAAGUUAUAAAAUAACAAGAUUGACAUACAUGGUCCAUGUUUUUUUUUAUGAAGAACAGAAGUUAUGGACAAUAGUUGGUUAUUGAAUCGAAGUUGGAUAAGUGCAUCACGCAUGAGUGAUCAGUAUGAGACUGGAGUGAAAUAUUUUGUUGAAUAUGUACUACAGAAUGCUAAGGAUGAUAUGAAUGGAAAGUUUUUUUACCCUUGUGUUAAUUGUUGUAAUACGACUCGCCUAGAACUUGAUAUUAUAAGGGAACAUCUUCUAUGUGAUGGGUUUCUUAAGAAUUAUACACGUUGGAAAUGGCAUGGUGACAAUAUUGACAUUCCAAGUGUGUCAGUCGAAACUCAAACUCAAACUUUUACACAAGAGGUAGAUAUGGGUGAUCGACUAGAGGAUAUGAUCCGUGACGUGGGUCCAGAAUCAUUCAAGCAAGCACAUAUGUAUGAAACUUUGUGCAGUGAUUCAGAGAAGCCGUUGUAUCUAAACUGCACAAAAUUUACAAGAUUGUCUGCAGUAUUGAGAUUGUUCAAUUUGAAGGCAAGAAAUGGAUGGAGUGAUAAAAGUUUCACAGAAUUGUUAGAGUUGCUGAAAGAAAUGCUUCCAGAGGGUAACACAUUGGGCUACAUUUUUCUUUAUAGAUAUUUAUAGAUCGAUCACCAUUGUCAUCAGAAGACAUCAACAUCAUUAGGGAGCAAUGGGCUACAUUUUUCAUUGAAACACUAACUAGUUAGGACUUAUUCUGUAUGAAAUACUUAUUAUGUAUACAUUACUGUAUUGAAUAUGUUUCCAAAAAGUUCUCUUGUAUUUUGUAUGUAAUCUGGACCAUUGAAAAUAUAUCAU